rnacentral:rRNA from 1 species
ACGGGUGCGGAACACGUACGCAACCUUCCUUUAAGUGAGGGAUAGCUUUCGGAAACGAAAAUUAAUACCUCGUAAGAUUGUGAGAUGGCAUCAUCUUAUAAUUAUAGCUCCGGCGCUUAAAGAUGGGCGUGCGCCUGAUUAGGUAGUUGGCGGAGUAACAGCCCACCAAGCCUACGAUCAGUAACUGGUGUGAGAGCACGACCAGUCACACGGGCACUGAGACACGGGCCCGACUCCUACGGGAGGCAGCAGUAAGGAAUAUUGGUCAAUGGACGCAAGUCUGAACCAGCCAUGCCGCGUGGAGGAUGAAGGUCCUCUGGAUUGUAAACUUCUUUUAUCGGAGAAGAAACCCCGGAAUUCUUUCUGGGUUGACGGUACCCGAUGAAUAAGCACCGGCUAACUCCGUGCCAGCAGCCGCGGUAAUACGGAGGGUGCAAGCGUUAUCCGGAUUCACUGGGUUUAAAGGGUGCGUAGGUGGGUUGGUAAGUCAGUGGUGAAAUCUCCAAGCUUAACUUGGAAACUGCCGUUGAUACUAUCAAUCUUGAAUCUCGUGGAGGUAAGCGGAAUAUGUCAUGUAGCGG